UACAGAGGUCUCAAGCGUUGUUCGGAUUCAUUGGGCGUAAAGGGUGCGUAGGUGGCGCUGUAAGUCAGGUGUGAAAUUUCGGAGCUUAACUCCGAAACUGCAUUUGAUACUGCGGUGCUUGAGGACUGGAGAGGAGACUGGAAUUUACGGUGUAGCAGUGAAAUGCGUAGAGAUCGUAAGGAAGACCAGUGGCGAAGGCGGGUCUCUGGACAGUUCCUGACACUGAGGCGCGACAGCGUGGGGAGCAAACAGG
rnacentral:rRNA from 1 species